UUCUGAUUGGACAAUUACCAUUCCGCCAUCAAAUUUUGAAAUGGGCAAAGAAGACAGGAGUUGUUGUGAAGAUUUUCCUGAUUUUUUCAAGAAAUAUGCAGAAUCACAGCGUGUUGUAUGUAGUAAUGAAACUGCAAGCAGUGGUUUCAUAAAGAUAGACAUGCUUAAGACCUGGAUGAUAUGGCUUUAGUUGUGGAUGACCAUUUCCAUUCAGGAAAAAAUCCCAACCAAGUCCAGCUAGCAGACUGUACACCAGAUUGAAGAUACAUCAUUAAUACAAGAUGAAAAAAAUUAAUGGAGGACGAGGAUAAUACUAUGAAAGAGAUCAUAUGCAAGAGCAACCGUUCCCAUAGAAAUACAUGCAGCCAUGUAAACAGAAACCAGUUUUCACCUGCCAGGUGCUGGUCACAUAUAUAUUCAACUUGGAAGUUCAACAGAUUCAAGAAACAGAUCCAGUUGUUUGCUGAUAAAUUACUGCAGGUCAUUGGUAUCAUCUAGAACCAGGACUGUUUUAAAAAUCAUACUAGUAUGUUUGGAACAAAAUCAUGCUAGUAUAUGUUAGGAAUUUAACCUAAAACAUGCUUUAAUUAUGAAGGUUUUGGUCAAAUUUUGGUUUACAAAAUAAUGUUUUUCAAACUUUCUAUUCAAAUUUAGCAAGAACAUUAGACACACAUGUAAUCCCAAAUGGUUUUAUGUUAGAUUAUUGCUUUAUUUAAAAAACUUGCAUAUAGGGUCUGUAAUGAUUUGAGAUAAUUAUGUAAACAAUAAAAUGCUUUUUUGGUGACAUAUGCGGGAUAUGAAUGUAGCGACAUUGCAGAAAAAAUACAUUAUCCGCAUUAGCGAGUUAUGUAAAUUUUUUCUGCAAUCAUUGCUCCCUUCAUUACCUGCAUGAAUCGUCAAAGAAAGUUAUAUUGUUUAUAUUUACAUCUUUCUUUUAACAAAUUAAUAAAUUGUUUGUAAAGAGUAAGUUAAAUUUACUAUAUUAUUUUUAAUGUGCAUCAGUACGUUAUCUAAAAGAAACAGCCAAAUUGUCUUCAAUGGGAAUGUGAGUCUGCAUUGAUAUCCUGAUUAUUUCAAUGAUUUUUCUAAGGUCAUUAUAGGUUUCGACCAAUCGUUAAACAAGGCGUUAACUAUAAGUUUCCAUAAGAAAUGGAGGAAAGCAUACUCAUUAGAUGUAAAUAUAAUUCAGUAAACAUAUUGAUUAACAUAAACAUUGACUUGUGUUCUUCUGCUCACAUGAACAGAUAUGAUUUUAAAUUCCUAUUCAAGAGCAAAAACAAUUUGAUGAAAAGUUCAUGUCAACAUUAGGGACUUUUUUUUCAUCAGUAUAACACCUGUACAUGUACCUGGGGUUUUUUUUUAUCUGAAGUUUAUGAUACAGAUAGAUAUUUUUUGCCUACAUCUGUAAUUUUUCUGUGUAACUUUUCUGUACCUAAAUGAUAACUUUUUUGUACCUACAUCUAUAACUUUUCUGUACCUAAACAAUAACUUUUCUGUAACUUUAUGUAUAACUUUUCUGUACCUACAUCUAUAACUUUUCUGUACCUAAAUGAUAACUUUUCUGUAACUAUAUGUAUAACUUUUCUGUACCUACAUCUAUAACUUUUCUGUACCUAAAUGAUAACUUUUCUGUAACUAUAUGUAUAACUUUUCUGUAACUAUAUGUAUAACUUUUCUGUACCUACGUCUAUAACUUUUCUGUAC